rnacentral:rRNA from 1 species
AACGAACGCUGGCGGCAGGCUUAACACAUGCAAGUCGAGCGCCCCGCAAGGGGAGCGGCAGACGGGUGAGUAACGCGUGGGAACGUACCCUUUGCUACGGAAUAGCUCCGGGAAACUGGAAUUAAUACCGUAUGUGCCCUACGGGGGAAAGAUUUAUCGGCAAAGGAUCGGCCCGCGUUGGAUUAGCUAGUUGGUGGGGUAAAGGCCUACCAAGGCGACGAUCCGUAGCUGGUCUGAGAGGAUGAUCAGCCACACUGGGACUGAGACACGGCCCAGACUCCUACGGGAGGCAGCAGUGGGGAAUAUUGGACAAUGGGCGCAAGCCUGAUCCAGCCAUGCCGCGUGAGUGAUGAAGGCCUUAGGGUUGUAAAGCUCUUUCGCCAGGGACGAUAAUGACGGUACCUGGAUAAGAAGCCCUGGCUAACUUCGUGCCAGCAGCCGCCGUAAGAC